GAUGAACGCUGGCGGCGUGCCUAAUACAUGCAAGUCGAGCGAACAGACGAGGAGCUUGCUCCUCUGACGUUAGCGGCGGACGGGUGAGUAACACGUGGAUAACCUACCUAUAAGACUGGGAUAACUUCGGGAAACCGGAGCUAAUACCGGAUAAUAUAUUGAACCGCAUGGUUCAAUAGUGAAAGACGGUUUUGCUGUCACUUAUAGAUGGAUCCGCGCCGCAUGAGCUAGUUGGUAAGGUAACGGCUUACCAAGGCAACGAUGCGUAGCCGACCUGAGAGGGUGAUCGGCCACACUGGAACUGAGACACGGUCCAGACUCCUACGGGAGGCAGCAGUAGGGAAUCUUCCGCAAUGGGCGAAAGCCUGACGGAGCAACGCCGCGUGAGUGAUGAAGGUCUUCGGAUCGUAAAACUCUGUUAUUAGGGAAGAACAAAUGUGCAAGUAACUAUGCACGUCUUGACGGUACCUAAUCAGAAAGCCACGGCUAACUACGUG
rnacentral:rRNA from 1 species